rnacentral:rRNA from 1 species
CACGUAGGGCGCAAGCGUUGUCCGGAAUUAUUGGGCGUAAAGAGCUCGUAGGCGGUCUGUUGCGUCCGCUGUGAAAACUCGGGGCCUAACCCCGAGCCUGCAGUGGAUACGGGCAGACUAGAGUGUGGUAGGGGAGACUGGAAUUCCUGGUGUAGCGGUGAAAUGCGCAGAUAUCAGGAAGAACACCCGUGGCUAAGGCGGUUCUCUAGUACGGUACUGACGCUGAGACGCGAAAGCGUGGGGAGCGAACAGG